rnacentral:rRNA from 1 species
UGGGGAAUAUUGGACAAUGGGGGCAACCCUGAUCCAGCCAUGCCGCGUGUGUGAAGAAGGCCUUUUGGUUGUAAAGCACUUUAAGCAGUGAAGAAGACUCCAUGGUUAAUACCCAUGGACGAUGACAUUAGCUGCAGAAUAAGCACCGGCUAACUCUGUGCCAGCAGCCGCGGUAAUACAGAGGGUGCAAGCGUUAAUCGGAAUUACUGGGCGUAAAGCGAGCGUAGGUGGCUUGAUAAGUCAGAUGUGAAAUCCCCGGGCUUAACCUGGGAACUGCAUCUGAUACUGUUAGGCUAGAAUAGGUGAGAGGAAGGUAGAAUUCCAGGUGUAGCGGUGAAAUGCGUAGAGAUCUGGAGGAAUACCGAUGGCGAAGGCAGCCUUCUGGCAUCAUAUUGACACUGAGGUUCGAAAGCGUGGGUAGCAAACAGGAUUAGAUACCCUGGUAGUCCACGCCGUAAACGAUGUCUACUAGUCGUUGGGUCCCUUGAGGACUUAGUGACGCAGCUAACGCAAUAAGUAGACCGCCUGGGGAGUACGGCCGCAAGGUUAA